CAGAAUCCCAGGUAUUUUCCUUCCAAAUCACAGGCACAAGCCUCCUCAACACAAGCUUUGUGAUAUGGAGUUGGGUCAACCUGAAAAGACAUAUCUUUUCCCAUCGAAGGUUAUAUAGUGGCCAUCACCAUAAACUUCGCAAGUCCUUGGGCACAUUUUAUUGGUACAGCUCCACAAGCCGCCCUGGCACGUGCUGCAAUAUGAAGAGAGCACAGUCAUGAAAAACCUGAGAUGUGGAGAGGAAAGAUCUGCUGGCAUAUCAUAAAUUCUUCUGUGAUUAUUAACUAAUGUUUGUGAUGGGAUAGAUUUUGAUUUAAAUGGACAUUUUGAAAUCAUAAACCAGAGAAUGGAGAGUUUGGGCACAUAUCACUUUUCCCCCUGCUACCCAAACGUCUUAAGACCACCUCAAGUAUUUGAUCCCACGCACUACUAUUUUCCACGUGUUGAUACUGGUCCCAUUUCAAAGCUUUUUGAGCUCUCUUCUUUUUCGCCUUGUUUAUAAUAGUACCUUCUUUCCACUCAAUUUGCUCUUCCCUUCUGAAGUCUAAUGUUUAUUUUCUCUUCCCAUUAAUAACUGUCACCAGAGUUUCAUUUCAUUUCCAGGACCUUUCAUCACUCACUUCCGUAAUGUCCCACGAUGAUCUUCUUUCUAUUACCUCUAAUCAACUUCUUGUUUCUUUUGCCCUGAAUACCCAAAGUCUUUUCUUCCCCAUUCUAUACCUAAGGUUACUGUACUGCUUCUGCCCUCUGUAUUUUUUUCUACCUACUUUUUGUUUUGAACAAUGUCAUGAACAACAGCUCAGAGUCUGAAAUUUUAAUGAGGUCAUUCCAGCAGCAGAAGAAAUGGAGAAGCUUGAACCAUAUUUCAUUGUUGGUGUCACUUGCAGAACACUGAGAUGAAGUUGUUCAGGCCUUGUACUGCCCAGAAGACAGGGACGCCAGAAUAUUUCCAUACUGUUUUAAUAGAUGGAGAGGACAUCAAGAUUACUCUCAUGGGUCAAAUGCAGAUGGUGAGGCUUUUAGUGAGUUCUGAUGAAUGGUCUGGGCCUGAAAUGUCAGCUCUUCAUUCAUCUCCAUAGAUGCUGCCUGACCUGCUGAGUUCCUCCAGCAUUUUGUGUGUGUUGCUCUGGAUUUCCAUCACCUGCAAAAUCUCUUGUGUUUAUGGUGAGAUUUUGCAGAAAUUAGUAUGUCUGCUUUGGCUUCAUUUAUUUUUGAAACUGAAAUAGUUCCAUGAGUUGAAGGAAGUUCAAUCAAUAUUUGAAUCUGUCUUUCCUGGUACUGUCUUUUUACUUAGUUCCUUGGGUACUGUAACACGUUGGUGAACAAUAAAACUGUCUUCAGACUACUACACUGGGGCUGGCUUAAGAAAAACAGGGAAAAUUCUUGAGCAAAGGAAGAUUAAUGAUGCUGUAAGAUGCUUGUUUGACGAGCUAACCUGUAUGUAACAUAUUGGUUGAGAAGAACUAGAAAACUAGAUAUAACUAAUCUCAUGUUUUGAAGCAAAUGUUUCACACAGAAAAUAAUGUGACUGUAAGGUAUUAUACAAAAGGGGCAGUGUGAGAGAGAACUUCAUGAACUGACUAUUGAAGGGUGACCUACAUUUAAGGUUACACAUCAGGCUUGUCACUACCCAUGGAGACUGCAAGUUGUCAGUAGGAUGCUUUAACUUCAGUGCAGGACAGAAAUUGGCCAGGAAUUUUUUCAAAUAAUGCAGCUGAAUAAAACUAUUUUUCUAUUAUUAAAAAGCACAA